rnacentral:rRNA from 1 species
AUUGAACGCUGGCGGCAGGCUUAACACAUGCAAGUCGAGCGAGUGGCGGACGGGUGAGUAAUAUCUGGGAAACUGCCUGAUAGAGGGGGAUAACUACUGGAAACGGUAGCUAAUACCGCAUACCAUCAGAUGUGCCCAGAUGGGAUGAGCUUGUAGGUGGGGUAAUGGCUCACCCAGGCGACGAUCCCUAGCUGGUCUGAGAGGAUGACCAGCCACACGGGAACUGAGACACGGUCCAGACUCCUACGUGAGGCAGCAGUGGGGAAUAUUGCACAAUGGGCGCAAGCCUGAUGCAGCCAUUCCGCGUGUGUGAAGAAGGCCUUCGGGUUGUAAAGCACUUUCAGCGAGGAGGCGGUACUCGCAGAAGAAGCACCGGCUAAGUCCGUGCGAGCCGCCGCGGUAAUUC